rnacentral:rRNA from 1 species
CCUACGGGCGGCAGCAGUGAGGAAUAUUGGUCAAUGGGCGGAAGCCUGAACCAGCCAAGUCGCGUGAGGGAGUAAGGCCCUACGGGUCGUAAACCUCUUUUGCCGGGGAGCAGUGCCCAGCUCGUGAGCUGGGAGGGAGCGUACCCGGAGAAAACGCAUCGGCUAACUCCGUGCCAGCAGCCGCGGUAAUACGUAGGGGGCAAGCGUUAUCCGGAUUUACUGGGUGUAAAGGGAGCGUAGACGGUUAUGUAAGUCUGGAGUGAAAGCCCGGGGCCCAACCCCGGGACUGCUUUGGAAACUGUGUAACUGGAGUACAGGAGGGGCAGGCGGAAUUCCUGGUGUAGCGGUGAAAUGCGUAGAUAUCAGGAGGAACACCGGCGGCGAAGGCGGCCUGCUGGACUGAAACUGACGUUGAGGCUCGAAAGCGUGGGGAGCAAACAGGAUUAGAUACCCCAGUAGUC